rnacentral:rRNA from 1 species
GACGAACGCUGGCGGCGUGCUUAACACAUGCAAGUCGAGCGGGCAUUAGUGGAUAUCAGCCUCGGCUGAAGAUGUAUAGCGAGGGUAGCGAACCGGUGAUUAGCGAGUGAUCAGCCUGACUUGAACUGAGGGAUGGUAUGCUGAAACCGGGAAAAAUAUGGCACCGAAUGGUAGAAACACGUGUUACAACGUUGAAGGAUUUAUCGGUCAUGGAUGGGCCCGCGUCUGAUUAGCUAGUUGGUGAGAUAACAGCCCACCAAGGCGACGAUCAGUAGCUGGUCUGAGAGGAUGAUCAGCCACACUGGAACUGAGACACGGUCCAGACUCCUACGGGAGGCAGCAGUGGGGAAUAUUGCACAAUGGGGGCAAGCCUGAUGCAGCGACGCCGCGUGAACGAUGAAGGUAUUCGUGUCGUAAAGUUCUGUUAUAUGGGAAGAUAAUGACGGUACCGUAGAAGAAAGCCCCGGCUAACUACGUG